rnacentral:rRNA from 1 species
CGUAGGCAGCAAGCGUUGUUCGGAGUUACUGGGCGUAAAGGGUGUGUAGGCGGUUCUUUAAGUUUGGUGUGAAAUCUCCCGGCUCAACUGGGAGGGUGCGCCGAAUACUGAGGGACUAGAGUACGGGAGAGGAAAGUGGAAUUCCUGGUGUAGCGGUGAAAUGCGUAGAUAUCAGGAGGAACACCGGUGGUGUAGACGGCUUUCUGGACCGUAACUGACGCUGAGACACGAAAGCGUGGGUAGCAAACAGGAUUAGAUACCCUGGUAGUCCACGCCCUAAACGAUGCAUAUUUGGUGUGGGCAGUUCAUUCUGUCCGUGCCGGAGUUAACGCGUUAAAUAUGCCGCCUGGGGAGUACAGUCGCAAGGCUG